rnacentral:rRNA from 1 species
UACGUAGGGUGCGAGCGUGUCCGGAAUUAUUGGGCGUAAAGGGCUCGUAGGCGGUUUGUCGCGUCGGGAGUGAAAUCACUGGGCUUAACCGAGUGCUUGCUUUCGAUACGGGCAGACUUGAGGCAUUGAGGGGAGAACGGAAUUCCUGGUGUAGCGGUGAAAUGCGCAGAUAUCAGGAGGAACACCGGUGGCGAAGGCGGUUCUCUGGCAAUGUUCUGACGCUGAGGAGCGAAAGUGUGGGGAGCGAACAGG